GGAGGAAAAGAAACCAACAGGGAUUGCCCCAGUAACGGCGAGUGAAGCGGCAACAGCUCAAAUUUGAAAUCUGGCCCCCCGGGGCCCGAGUUGUAAUUUGCAGAGGAUGCUUUUGGCGAGGCGCCUUCCGAGUUCCCUGGAACGGGACGCCACAGAGGGUGAGAGCCCCGUCUGGUUGGAUGCCGAGCCUCUGUAAAGCUCCUUCGACGAGUCGAGUAGUUUGGGAAUGCUGCUCUAAAUGGGAGGUAUAUGUCUUCUAAAGCUAAAUAUUGGCCAGAGACCGAUAGCGCACAAGUAGAGUGAUCGAAAGAUGAAAAGCACUUUGAAAAGAGGGUUAAAUAGUACGUGAAAUUGUUGAAAGGGAAGCGCUCAUGACCAGACUUGGGCCCGGUGAAUCAUCCAGCGUUCUCGCUGGUGCACUUUGCCGGGCUCAGGCCAGCAUCAGUUCGCCCCGGGGGAGAAAGGCUCUGGGAAUGUGGCUCCCCCGGGAGUGUUAUAGCCCUCUGCGCAAUGCCCUGGGGCGGACUGAGGUCCGCGCAUCUGCAAG
rnacentral:rRNA from 1 species